UCAAGAAGAUACAGUGACAGAAAACUUGAAGAAUAAUAAAUAUGAUGAGGAAUUCCAAAAGGACAUUGAGAAGUUGGUGGAUUGGUCAGUGAAAGAGAACACACAACAAAGGAGUCAGAGGGCUGUGUUGGAGCUGUCUCCUGAUGGUUUCAGUUUGAUUGUCACUCUCAGGGUUUGUGCUAAGCUGCAGCCAGACUCUUCAAAAAAUUGUUAAUACGCUAAGGAUCCCUAAACGUACAACAGAUGGUGUCGAUGUUUCUGUAUUCACUGUGCAAAAGAAAGAACAUUGUCUCACAUGCAUCACUUGCUUUAUUUUUACAAGUUGUAAA